GGCUGAGGUGCUUUUUAUGAGGUUUUUCUAAACAAAGAGUCAGGGAAUUUACAGAACAAGACUGCGAACACAUUGCUUAUUUCAUGCAGAGUUAGCGAUUAGCAUAUGAAAAAGCACGGUCUCUGGUCUAUUAGCAUGGAGUCACUUUAGCUUAUUCAAGUCUUACACCUUCUGAUCCCAAUUCCUGAAACUCAUUGCACUUGGGAGAUUGUUGACGACUGCCUCUCCUCCCACUGCAAGCUGUAGAGGUCGGGAGACAUCUGUGUCCUCAUCGCAUCUGUUGCUACCUAACGGAGAACUUCAGAAAUAACAGCCACCGCAGUCACAGUCAUUGUCCUGGUAGCUGUGGAAACAGCAACAGUAACAAAACACAGCUGGUCCGCCGAGGGCUCGCAGUGGACCCGUCACGGCCGCCCACAUUGUGCGCAGACUCACAAGCCUGCUCCUCCCUUAGCCCUCAUGGUCUCCAUGUCACAAAGCGGGAAACUGAGGCUGAGAGAGACUUGCUGACUUCCCAAGUCUGAGAGUCCAAAGCCCGACCUCUAGCAACCGCGUCUCUACCUUUGUGGACCGUGUGACUAAAGGUGGAGUCCUUCAAACAAAAUUUAUCUGGGAAAAAGUAAGGCUCCGAGCUGUGCAAUCCUUGCACACCCUAAAUGACCGGAUUUCUCACUUUAUCGUCACCAAGUCGAAGGCACUGGAAGAAGACAAAGACUCUUUUCUACCCACUGAGAAAGAGAUUCUGAACAGCUCCAUGAUUUUGAUGAGGCUCCUUUUCCUGGGUGCUCAGCAUUAUUUACUGAGGCGAGCACACGCUUGGGGCACGGGAAGGUGGCAUGGCUCCUGGUGAGGCCUCCGCUGGAAAACUAAGUGCCAAAGGCCAGACACCUCCCUGCAGCCUGGCUCCUUCUGCUGGCCCCGCUAUGAAGAACGGCCUAGGAGAGGCUCAUGUUUUAUGGAUCCGUGGCCGGAGCAGUUCUUGGGGAGAGAACAGCUACAGCUUACCUGCAUGGGUCAGUGAAUGACAUAAAACCAGCAGCCAAGGAGUGUGACAGACUCAGUGCUGCACCCCUGUGUUCUUAAAAGAAAAGAAGACACAAGAACGGUGAACACAUCUGUGAUUUUUGUACAUCUACCAAAAAAUAAUCUGCUAAAAUGGCCUUAAAGUAAAUACAGAAA
rnacentral:lncRNA from 1 species